UACGGAGGGUGCUAGCGUUGUUCGGAAUCACUGGGCGUAAAGGGCGCGUAGGCGGCCUUGCAAGUCGGUUGGUGAAAGCCCGGGGCUCAACCCCGGAAUUGCCUUUAAGACUGCAUCGCUUGAAUCCGGGAGAGGUGAGUGGAAUUCCGAGUGUAGAGGUGAAAUUCGUAGAUAUUCGGAAGAACACCAGUGGCGAAGGCGGCUCACUGGACCGGCAUUGACGCUGAGGUGCGAAAGCGUGGGGAGCAAACAGG
rnacentral:rRNA from 1 species